ACUAAUUAAUGCAGGUUAACAGAACGAAUUUAAAGCAUGUUUCCAUACAUGAAUUGAAGGUCCCAAGCUGGUCCUUGAUUACAAAUAUUUAAGCAAGAUAGUAAAUACAGCAGUCACAGAAGCAGACCUGUAAAGACCUCUUGUAACAGAGCUCAACAUUCGUGUGUAAGCGGCUGGACUCUGUUUACUUGAAUACUCCACGUCAUCAUCUACCUAUAACCAUAAGAGAAAAUGAACAAACAGUUACUUGUGCAGCAAAAGGAAUGAUCAAGAACUCUUUCUAACGGAACAAUAUAGACACUUACAAGUUUUGAGAGAACUCCAUAACUGGACGAAAGCAAUUGAGUUAAUAAUUUAUUUUGCAGCUCUUUGUUAGCAACAGAGCCGAGAAUCACAGUGAUAGCGCUAAUGACUUUGCUUCA